GACAAACGCUGGCGGCGUGCGUAACACAUGCAAGUCGUGCGGGCAGUCUCUUCGGAGGCUGUCAGCGGCGGACGGGUGAGUAACACGUGAGUCACCGACCCCAGAGUGGGGGAUACCGCGCGGAAACGCGCGUUAAUCCCGCAUACGGUCGCCUCCUCUGAGGCGAGGAAAGCAGCAAUGCGCUCCGGGACGGGCUCGCGGCUGAUUAGCUGGUUGGUGAGGUAAUGGCUCACCAAGGCUGCGAUCAGUAGCUGGUCUGAGAGGACGAUCAGCCACA
rnacentral:rRNA from 1 species